CAACUACUCCCUCUGUCCCAAAUUUCUUGUCUUAGAUUUGUCUAGAUACGGAUGUAUAUAAUACUAAAAUGUGACUUGAUACAUCUGUAUCUAGACAAAUCUAAGACAAGAAUUUUGGAACGGAGGGAGUACUUU
rnacentral:pre_miRNA from 1 species